AUGUGUUGCUUUUCAACAGCUACCACUUAUGCUCUUGCCUAUGUAACCUCUACUGUUGUUGCUCAUGUGCUGCACAUCCAUCUAUUAACAUGCAUAAUGCCACCCUUAUCUAUAAUUAUCUGUUUAUACUGCUCUCUCUGUUUGAAGCAUCAACUACUUAACAACAACACCAAAUAUGCUACCCAAGGAAAACACAUGCCCUACCUACUAGCGUCCACCUUCCGCUCAAGAGCUAUAGCACUAACAUAUACCAUCGAGUGUUCUAAGAGCAACAGUUAUAAUGAAACGUGUAAUGUUCAUCACUUCAAAACACCAUCAUCAUGCCUCUCUGACUAUCUACUUUCCUUCCUAAUAGCAUUGUAA
rnacentral:rRNA from 1 species